UACGGAGGGAGCUAGCGUUGUUCGGAAUUACUGGGCGUAAAGCGAGUGUAGGCGGUUCGCUAAGUCGGGUGUGAAAGCCCUGGGCUCAACCCAGGAAGUGCACUCGAAACUGGCAGGCUAGAGUACUGGAGAGGUUGGUGGAAUUCUCGGUGUAGAGGUGAAAUUCGUAGAUAUCGAGAGGAACACCGGUGGCGAAGGCGGCCAACUG
rnacentral:rRNA from 1 species